rnacentral:rRNA from 1 species
CACUAUUAUUGAGCCUAAAGCGUCCGUAGCCGGUCUUGUAAAUCUCUGGGUAAAUCCUGCCGCUUAACGGUGGGAAUGCUGGAGAGACUGCAAGACUGGGGAUCGGGUGAAGCGAGAGGUACUCCUGGGGUAGGGGUAAAAUCCUGUAAUCCUGGGGGGACGACCGGUGGCGAAAGCGUCUCGCUAGAACGACUCCGACGGUGAGGGACGAAGGCUAGGGGAGCAAACCGGAUUAGAUACCCGGGUAGUCCUAGCUGUAAACGCUGCACACUUGGUGUUGCCCCUUCUUUGGGAAAGGGCAGUGCCGGAGCGAAGGUGUUAAGUGUGCCGCUUGGGGAGUAUGGUCGCAAGGCUGAAACUUAAAGGAAUUGGCGGGAGAGCACCGCAACGGGAGGAGCGUGCGGUUUAAUUGGAUUCAACGCCGGAAAACUCACUAGGGAAGACCAUGGUAUGAGGGUCAACUUGAAGAAUUUACUCGAUUACAUGGAGAAGUGGUGCAUGGCCGUCGUCAGCUCGUACCGUAAAGCGUUCACUUAAGUGUGAUAACGAGCGAGACCCCCGUCCACUUUUGCCAGUACUCUCGCGAGAGAGCACGCACUAUGUGGAGACUGCCAGUGUUAAACUGGAGGAAGGAGAGGUCAACGGCAGGUCAGUAUGCCCCGAAUUCCCUGGGCUACACGCGCGCUACAAAGGACGGAACAAUGGGCUGCGAUCCCGAAAGGGAGAGCCAAUCCCGAAAUCCGUUCGUAGUUCAGACUGAGGACUGUAAUUCGUCCUCACGAAGCUGGAUUCCGUAGUAAUCGCGAUUCAAC